ACAUUCCAUUAUAUCAUGAGCCAAUCUCCACAUCGGACACAGUUUCUAUCAGCUUUCAACUUCCUUCUCAACAAAUUUUGCAUUACUGGAAGGAUUUCCUUGCACACUUUCCACAUGAAAAGUUUCAUCUUUGUUAGUACCUGUGUUGACCAGAUUCUGUUCCAUAGAUUUUGUGCUCUCCGUCCCUGUUGAUGUCCUCCACCACUCUCAUUUGCAUCUAUUGAGUUGCAUAACAUCGGUAGG
rnacentral:lncRNA from 1 species